AUCCAGAUGACGAGUCUCAGACAGGACGAAACGCACGUCCUGGAU
rfam:Schistosoma mattheei strain Denwood, Zambia genome assembly, scaffold: SMTD_scaffold0018183